rnacentral:rRNA from 1 species
GCGAAUGCGACGCGGAGGGACAUUACCGAGUUUACAACUCCCAAACCCCUGUGAACAUACCUAUAAUUUGCCUCGGCAGACUCAACGACGGUGCUCCGAGAAAUCGGGCGCCGCUCGCUGCCAGAGGAACCCCAAACUCUAUGUAUUCUUGUGGAUCUUCUGAGUAAAACAAAACAAAUAAAUCAAAACUUUCAACAACGGAUCUCUUGGUUCUGGCAUCGAUGAAGAACGCAGCGAAAUGCGAUAAGUAAUGUGAAUUGCAGAAUUCAGUGAAUCAUCGAAUCUUUGAACGCACAUUGCGCCCGCCAGUAUUCUGGCGGGCAUGCCUGUUCGAGCGUCAUUUCAACCCUCAAGCCCUAGGGCUUGGUGUUGGGGAUCGGCGAUAGUCGCCGUCCCCCAAAUCUAGUGGCGGUCUCGCUGUAGCCUCCAUUGCGUAGUAGCUAACACCUCGCAACUGGAACGCGGCGCGGCCAAGCCGUUAAACCCCCAACUUCUGAAUGUUGACCUCGGAUCAGGUAGGAAUACCCGCUGAACUUAAGCAUAUCAAUAAGCGGAGGAAAAGAAACCAACAGGGAUUGCCCUAGUAACGGCGAGUGAAGCGGCAACAGCUCAAAUUUGAAAUCUGGCUCUCGGGCCCGAGUUGUAAUUUGUAGAGGAUGCUUUUGGUGCGGUGCCUUCCGAGUGCCCUGGAACGGGACGCCAUAGAGGGUGAGAGCCCCGUCUGGUUGGAUGCCAAUCCUCUGUAAAGCUCCUUCGACGAGUCGAGUAGUUUGGGAAUGCUGCUCUAAAUGGGAGGUAUAUGUCUUCUAAAGCUAAAUACCGGCCAGAGACCGAUAGCGCACAAGUAGAGUGAUCGAAAGAUGAAAAGCACUUUGAAAAGAGAGUUAAAAAGUACGUGAAAUUGUUGAAAGGGAAGCGUUUAUGACCAGACUUGGGCUUGGUUAAUCAUCCAGGGUUCUCCCUGGUGCACUUUUCCAGUCCAGGCCAGCAUCAGUUUGCUUCGGGGGAUAAAGGCUUCGGGAAUGUGGCUCCUCUCCGGGAGUGUUAUAGCCCGUUGCGUAAUACCCUGGGGCGGACUGAGGUACGCGCUCUGCAAGGAUGCUGCGAAGACGAAGCU